UACGGGGGGGGCAAGCGUUGGUCGGAAUUACUGGGCUUAAAGGGCUUGUAGGCGGCCAACUAAGUCAGACGUGAAAUCCCUCGGCUUAACCGGGGAACUGCGUCUGAUACUGGAUGGCUUGAGUUUGGGAGAGGGAUGCGGAAUUCCAGGUGUAGCGGUGAAAUGCGUAGAUAUCUGGAGGAACACCGGUGGCGAAGGCGGCAUCCUGGACCAACGCUGACGCUGAGGAGCGAAAGCCAGGGGAGCAAACGGG
rnacentral:rRNA from 1 species